ACGCUCGACACCUACGGGAGGCAGCAGUGGGGAAUAUUGCACAAUGGGGGAAACCCUGAUGCAGCGACGCCGCGUGAGUGAAGAAGUAUUUCGGUAUGUAAAGCUCUAUCAGCAGGGAGGAAAAUGACGGUACCUGACUAAGAAGCCCCGGCUAACUAACGUGCUAGCAGCCGGCGGUAAUCUGAGCGGGCUGGCAAGC
rnacentral:rRNA from 1 species